UACGAAGGGGGCUAGCGUUGCUCGGAAUUACUGGGCGUAAAGCGCACGUAGGCGGCUCUUUAAGUCGGAGGUGAAAUCCUGGAGCUCAACUCCAGAACUGCCUUCGAUACUGUAGAGCUUGAGUUCGGGAGAGGUGAGUGGAACUGCGAGUGUAGAGGUGAAAUUCGUAGAUAUUCGCAAGAACACCAGUGGCGAAGGCGGCUACCUGGACCAGCACUGACACUGAGGCACGAAAGCGUGGGGAGCAAACAGG
rnacentral:rRNA from 1 species